rnacentral:rRNA from 1 species
GAUGAACGCUGGCGGCGUGCCUAAUACAUGCAAGUCGAGCGAACGGACGAGAAGCUUGCUUCUCUGAUGUUAGCGGCGGACGGGUGAGUAACACGUGGAUAACCUACCUAUAAGACUGGGAUAACUUCGGGAAACCGGAGCUAGUACCGGAUAAUAUUUUGAACCGCAUGGUUCAAAAGUGAAAGACGGUCUUGCGGUCACUUAUAGAUGGAUCCGCGCUGCAUUAGCUAGUUGGUAAGGUAACGGCUUACCAAGGCAACGAUGCAUAGCCGACCUGAGAGGGUGAUCGCCCACACUGGAACGGAGACACGGUCCAGACUCCUACGGGAGGCAGCAGUAUGGAAUCUUCCGCAAUGGGCGAAAGCCUUACGGAGCAACGCCGCGUGAGUGAUAACGGUCUUCGGAUCGUAAAACUCUGUUAUUAGUGAAAAACAUAUGUGUAAGUAACUGUGCACAUCUUGACGGUACCUAAUCAGAAAGCCACGGCUAACUACGUG